UAUGACGGUUCCAACCCCAGCUCAGAGAUCAGGAACUCGGACUUGCGCUGCAUCCGACCACCUGAAGGUGUUCUUCAAGCAGUCCACUUUGGCGGCCAUAUUCUCCUGGCGGAUAGAUGCAGCAGCCUUCAGGGCACGCCAGAACAUCCCAGAUCCACGGGGCACACCGAGACCGUCGGCGCAUGCCACCAUCUCUAGGACACGCUCAUGGUUGGUGAUGAGCAACCCCGGUUUAUCCGUGCACAGCUUGGCAAUGUGGCAAUCAUCUAG
rnacentral:rRNA from 1 species